rnacentral:tRNA from 1 species
GGAGGAAUGGCAGAGUGGUCGAAUGCGGCGGUCUUGAAAACCGUUGUCCGCUUACGCGGACCGGGGGUUCGAAUCCCUCUUCCUCCGCCA